AGCGAAAGCGGUACCAAAUCGAUAUGAACUCUGAAUACCCUGUGUGUAACUAGGCAGUCAGACUGUGGGGGAUAAGCUCCAUAGUCAAGAGGGAAACAGCCCAGACCGCCAGCUAAGGUCCCAAAAUUAACGCUAAGUGAUAAAGGAGGUGGGAUUGCCCAGACAACCAGGAGGUUUGCCUAGAAGCAGCCAUCCUCAAAGGAGUGCGUAAUAGCUCACUGGUCGAGCGAUCCUGCGCCGAAAAUGAACGGGGCUAAGCGUUAUACCGAAGCUGCGGAUAAAUUUAUUUAUGGUAGGGGAGCGUUCUAUGUAGGGUGAAGCGUUAGCGUAAGCGGACGUGGACAGCAUAGAAGUGAGAAUGUCGGCUUGAGUAGCGAAAACAUGGGUGAGAAUCCCAUGCCCCGAAACCCUAAGGGUUCCUCCGGCAGGCUCGUCCGCGGAGGGUUAGUCUGGACCUAAGGCGAGGCCGAAAGGCGUAGUCGAUGGAUAACAGGUCAAUAUUCCUGUACCAGAUGUGUUUUGAGAAGGGGGACGGAGAAGGCUAACCAGGCCAGAUGUUGGUUACUGGUUCAAGCGUUCGAGGCUUUGAGAGAUGGAGAAAACAUCUUGAGCUAAGGCGUGAGUACGAGCUGCUACGGCAGCGAAGUUGGUGAUGUCAUGCUUCCAAGAAAAGCCCUAUACUCGUUAAGACACAAAUGCCAGUACCCGAAACCGACACAGGUGGGGUGGUAGAGAAUACCGAGGGGCGCGAGAUAACUCUCUCUAAGGAACUCGGCAAAAUGGCCCCGUAACUUCGGGAGAAGGGGUGCCAGCGAGAGCUGGUCGCAGUGAAGAGGCGCAAGCGACUGUUUACCAAAAACACAGGUCUCCGCUAAGUCGCAAGACGAUGUAUGGGGGCUGACACCUGCCCAGUGCCGGAAGGUUAAGGAAGCUGGUUAGCUUUAUGUGAAGCUGGCGACUGAAGCCCCGGUGAACGGCGGCCGUAACUAUAACGGUCCUAAGGUAGCGAAAUUCCUUGUCGGGUAAGUUCCGACCCGCACGAAAGGUGUAACGAUUUGCGCGCUGUCUCGGAGAGAGGCUCGGCGAAAUAGAAUUGUCUGUGAAGAUGCGGACUACAUACACCCGGACAGAAAGACCCUAUGAAGCUUUACUGUAGUUUGAUAUUGUGCUCGGGCUCUGAAUGCGCAGAAUAGGUGGGAGACGUUGAAAUAGUGCUUGUGGGUACUAUUGAGUCAUCGGUGAGAUACCACUCUUUUAGAGCUAGGGUUCUAACGCUUACCCGUUAUCCGGGAAGCGGACAGUAUCUGAUGGGCAGUUUGACUGGGGCGGUCGCCUCCUAAAAGGUAACGGAGGCGCACAAAGGUUCCCUCAGGCUGGUUGGAAAUCAGUCGUUGAGUGCAAAAGCAGAAGGGAGCUUGACUGUGAGACCUACAAGUCGAACAGGGACGAAAGUCGGUUUUAGUGAUCCGACGGUUCUGCGUGGAAGGGCCGUCGCUCAACGGAUAAAAGUUACUCUAGGGAUAACAGGCUGAUCUCCCCCAAGAGUUCACAUCGACGGGGAGGUUUGGCACCUCGAUGUCGGCUCAUCGCAACCUGGGGCUGAAGUCGGUCCCAAGGGUUGGGCUGUUCGCCCAUUAAAGCGGUACGCGAGCUGGGUUCAGAACGUCGUGAGACAGUUCGGUCCAUAUCCGGUGUAUGCGCAGGAAUAUUGAGAGGAUUUCUCCCUAGUACGAGAGGACCGGGAGGAACGCACCUCUGGUGUGCCAGUUAUCGUGCCAACGGUAAACGCUGGGUAGCCAUGUGCGGAGUGGAUAACCGCUGAAAGCAUCUAAGUGGGAAGCCCACCUCAAGAUGAGUAUUGCCAUGGCUUAAGCCAGUAAGGUCACGGGAAGAACACCCGUUGAUAGGCUCUACGUGGAAGCUUGGUAACAAGUGCAGCGGAGGAGUACUAAUAGACCGAGGGCUUGACCAA
rnacentral:rRNA from 1 species